AUGGUGCUCUCCCACGCCGCGUCGGCAGGGUCGUCCGAUGAGUCGGUGCACUCCACCUUCGCCUCCCGCUACGUCCGCGCCUCCCUGCCCAGGUUCCGGAUGCCGGAGAACUCGAUCCCGAAGGAGGCGGCGUACCAGAUCAUCAACGACGAGCUGAUGCUGGACGGGAACCCGCGGCUGAACCUGGCGUCCUUCGUCACCACCUGGAUGGAGCCCGAGUGCAACAAGCUCAUGAUGGACUCCAUCAACAAGAACUACGUCGACAUGGACGAGUACCCCGUCACCACCGAGCUCCAGAACCGAUGCGUGAACAUGAUCGCGCAUCUCUUCAAUGCUCCUCUCGGGGAGACCGAGACGGCCGUGGGAGUGGGCACCGUCGGCUCUUCGGAGGCCAUCAUGCUCGCCGGGCUGGCCUUCAAGAGGCGUUGGCAGAACAAGAUGAAGGCCGCCGGCAAGCCCUGCGACAAGCCCAACAUCGUCACCGGCGCCAACGUCCAAGUUUGCUGGGAGAAGUUCGCGCGCUACUUCGAGGUGGAGCUCAAGGAAGUGAAGCUGAGCGAGGGGUACUACGUGAUGGACCCCGAGAAGGCCGUUGAGAUGGUCGACGAGAACACCAUCUGCGUCGCCGCCAUCCUCGGCUCCACCCUCAACGGCGAGUUCGAGGACGUCAAGAUGCUCAACGACCUCCUCGUCAAGAAGAACGAGGAGACAGGCUGGGACACGCCGAUCCACGUGGAUGCGGCGAGCGGCGGGUUCAUCGCGCCGUUCCUGUACCCGGAGCUGGAGUGGGACUUCCGGCUGCCGCUGGUGAAGAGCAUCAACGUGAGCGGGCACAAGUACGGCCUCGUGUACGCCGGGAUCGGGUGGUGCAUCUGGAGGAGCAAGGAGGACCUGCCGGACGAGCUCAUCUUCCACAUCAACUACCUCGGCGCCGACCAGCCCACCUUCACCCUCAACUUCUCCAAAGGUUCCAGCCAGGUUAUCGCGCAGUAUUACCAGCUGAUCCGCCUUGGUUUCGAGGGGUACAGGAACAUCAUGGACAACUGCCAGGAGAACGCGAUGGUGCUCAAGGAGGGGCUGGAGCGCACGGGCCGGUUCAACAUCGUGUCCAAGGACCAGGGCGUCCCGCUGGUGGCCUUCUCCCUCAAGGACAGCAGCCGGCACGACGAGUUCGAGAUCUCCGAGUUCCUCCGCCGCUUCGGCUGGAUCGUGCCCGCCUACACCAUGCCCCCCGACGCGCAGCACGUCACCGUGCUCCGCGUCGUCAUCCGCGAGGACUUCAGCCGCACCUUCGCCGAGCGCCUCGUCAUCGACAUCGAGAAGGUGCUCCACGAGCUCGACGCCCUCCCGUCCCGCAGCAGCGGGCCCGCCCUGCAGCACCCCAACGGCGACACCGUCAGCGAGAAGGACCUGGCCAGGCAGCGCGAGGUGGUGUCCGUCUGGAAGAGGGCCGUCGCCGCCAGGAAGAAGACCCAGGGCGUCUGCUGA
rnacentral:rRNA from 1 species